rnacentral:rRNA from 1 species
AACGCUGGCGGCGUGCUUAACACAUGCAAGUCGAACGAUGAUCUCCAGCUUGCUGGGGGGAUUAGUGGCGAACGGGUGAGUAACACGUGAGUAACCUGCCCUUGACUCUGGGAUAAGCCUGGGAAACUGGGUCUAAUACCGGAUAUGACUCCUCAUCGCAUGGUGGGGGGUGGAAAGCUUUUGUGGUUUUGGAUGGACUCGCGGCCUAUCAGCUUGUUGGUGGGGUAAUGGCCUACCAAGGCGACGACGGGUAGCCGGCCUGAGAGGGUGACCGGCCACACUGGGACUGAGACACGGCCCAGACUCCUACGGGAGGCAGCAGUGGGGAAUAUUGCACAAUGGGCGGAAGCCUGAUGCAGCGACGCCGCGUGAGGGAUGACGGCCUUCGGGUUGUAAACCUCUUUCAGUAGGGAAGAAGCCGCAAGGUGACGGUACCUGCAGAAGAAGCGCCGGCUAACUACGUGCCAGCAGCCGCGGUAAUACGUAGGGCGCAAGCGUUAUCCGGAAUUAUUGGGCGUAAAGAGCUCGUAGGCGGUUUGUCGCGUCUGCUGUGAAAGACCGGGGCUCAACUCCGGUUCUGCAGUGGGUACGGGCAGACUAAAGUGCAGUAGGGGAGACUGGAAUUCCUGGUGUAGCGGUGAAAUGCGCAGAUAUCAGGAGGAACACCGAUUGCGAA